rnacentral:rRNA from 1 species
UGGGGAAUCUUGGACAAUGGGCGAAAGCCUGAUCCAGCCAUGCCGCGUGAGUGACGAAGGCCUUAGGGUUGUAAAACUCUUUCGUCGGGGACGAUAAUGACGGUACCCGAAGAAGAAGCUCCGGCUAACUUCGUGCCAGCAGCCGCGGUAAUACGAAGGGAGCUAGCGUUGUUCGGAAUCACUGGGCGUAAAGCGCACGUAGGCGGAUAGUUAAGUCAGGGGUGAAAUCCUGGGGCUCAACCCCAGAACUGCCUUUGAUACUGGCUGUCUCGAGGUCGAGAGAGGUUGGUGGAAUUCCUAGUGUAGAGGUGAAAUUCGUAGAUAUUAGGAAGAACACCAGUGGCGAAGGCGGCCAACUGGCUCGAUACUGACGCUGAGGUGCGAAAGCGUGGGGAGCAAACAGGAUUAGAUACCCCCGUAGUCCCUGAGCGGGCUGGCAAGGCGCAU